AUACCUACCUGGCAAGGGAGAUACCAGGAUCAAGAAGGUGGUUUUCCCGGGGUGAGGCUUAUCCAUUGCACUCCAGAUGUGCUGACCUCUUCGGUUUCCCCCAAUGUGGGAACUUGUCUAAUUUGUUGCAGUGGGGGACUGCGUUUGUGCUCUCCCCUG